rnacentral:tRNA from 3 species
AGUAAAGUCAGCUAAAAAAGCUACCGGGCCCAUACCCCGAAAAUGUCCACAGGACCUUUACUA